UAACACAUUAUACAAUUCCUUUUUCCUUUGCAGAGUCGCGCUAUCGGCAGUUGUUUACUGACCUUGCUCUAAAUCGUCUUUCAAUAUUUGUUUUAUCAACGUCGUAUAUCAAACUGAAGAUCACUGCCGAUCCUCCAUCGCGCUGGCACUUGGGGACACGGUGACAACAACUCACCAGAUUUAGUGACGUAACCAGGCAGAGUAGAGCUCAAAGCGCGUGGUCCGGGUCUGUCACUAAGGCAGGCAGCAGACGAAUCGGUUUACCACUGCUUUACUCUUUCUGUCAUAUGUGGAAUAGGCGCUCUCCCGCAACGAAAACCGAUACCCGUACUAGCCGUGAGCGUUAGGUUUGGAAAAGAAUAAGGAAAUAUUCCGAUGGUCACACGCUAGUGGCGUCCUAUUGUCGCUUAGCGUAUCACCACAAAGCAGAAGAAAGCAUACAGCAGCCACCCGAAACAAUGGAUUCUUAUGAAAUUUAUCGAUUGAUUAUGUAAUCCUAAACUGCACUAAAUGCCGGCAUGUGAUCCUUUCCAACGAAAUGCGAUCGAAUGUACAGUGCGCCUCGGUCAUCAUAGGCACAGCAUAAAACAAUUUUUGCAACACUUAAGCGUCGACCAAAGCUGAACACACGUUUCUAUUGUGGGUGAGGCUGGUUCAACAGCGAUUUCGGCUACCCCGGAUGAUUAUGUCGUGGCUCUCGACGGCACGCUCUACACUUUCAUCGACCUCGGAAAGGCGACGGAUUUCAGUAAAAAAAAAACCCUAAAGGAAAUAAACACACUUGCUAUUGGUACUUACUAUUAUGCACUGAGUGUUUUAAUUCACGUUACAACACGGAAAACACGAGAAAAAUCUCUUUUUCUUGCACAGAAAUUAGCGAAAUGCCACGGAGAAA